AGAGUUUGAUCCUGGCUCAGAUUGAACGCUGGCGGCAUGCCUUACACAUGCAAGUCGAACGGCAGCACGGAGCUUGCUCUGGUGGCGAGUGGCGAACGGGUGAGUAAUAUAUCGGAACGUACCCUAGAGUGGGGGAUAACGUAGCGAAAGUUACGCUAAUACCGCAUACGAUCUAAGGAUGAAAGUGGGGGAUCGCAAGACCUCAUGCUCGUGGAGCGGCCGAUAUCUGAUUAGCUAGUUGGUAGGGUAAAAGCCUACCAAGGCAUCGAUCAGUAGCUGGUCUGAGAGGACGACCAGCCACACUGGAACUGAGACACGGUCCAGACUCCUACGGGAGGCAGCAGUGGGGAAUUUUGGACAAUGGGCGAAAGCCUGAUCCAGCAAUGCCGCGUGAGUGAAGAAGGCCUUCGGGUUGUAAAGCUCUUUUGUCAGGGAAGAAACGGUGAGAGCUAAUAUCUCUUGCUAAUGACGGUACCUGAAGAAUAAGCACCGGCUAACUACGUGCCAGCAGCCGCGGUAAUACGUAGGGUGCAAGCGUUAAUCGGAAUUACUGGGCGUAAAGCGUGCGCAGGCGGUUUUGUAAGUCUGAUGUGAAAUCCCCGGGCUCAACCU
rnacentral:rRNA from 1 species